rnacentral:rRNA from 1 species
GACGAACCGUGCGAACGUUGUUCGGAAUCACUGGGCUUAAAGGGCGCGUAGGCGGGCUGUCAAGUUUGGGGUGAAAUCCCGCGGCUCAACCGUGGAACUGCCUCAAAUACUGACGGCCUCGAGGAAGGUAGGGGCAUGCGGAACUGUAGGUGGAGCGGUGAAAUGCGUUGAUAUCUACAGGAACUCCGGUGGCGAAAGCGGCGUGCUGGACCUUUUCUGACGCUGAGGCGCGAAAGCCAGGGGAGCAAACGGG